rnacentral:siRNA from 1 species
UCUCGCCAUUGUUGUGUUGG